AGAAUCAACGCUGGCGGCGUGCCUAACACAUGCAAGUCGAACGAGAAAGUGGAGCAAUCCAUGAGUAAAGUGGCGCACGGGUGAGUAACACGUGACUAACCUACCCUCGAGUGGGGAAUAACUUCGGGAAACCGAGGCUAAUACCGCAUAAAACCUAAGGGUCAAAGGAGCAAUCCGUUUGAGGAGGGGGUCGCGGCAGAUUAGUUAGUUGGCGGGGUAAUGGCCCACCAAGACGAUGAUCUGUAUCCGGCCUGAGAGGGCGCACGGACACACUGGAACUGAAACACGGUCCAGACUCCUACGGGAGGCAGCAGUGGGGAAUUUGCGCAAUGGGGGAAACCCUGACGCAGCAACGCCGCGUGGAGGAUGAAAUCCCUUGGGAUGGUAAACUCCUUUCGACCGGGACGAUAAUGACGGUACCGGAUGAAGAAGCCCCGGCUAACUUUGCGCCAGCAGCCGC
rnacentral:rRNA from 1 species